AAUAGAAACCAUUAAACAAACCAAAGAAAACAGUGAGAAGGCGAUCAGCGAUGCAUUACCACGGUUGCUUCUGCGCACGGUGUAGAGUAUCGACGUCUCCGUUGCCGGUAAUAGUCAUGAUCACGGUGGCUCUCGUCCUUUUAGCCCUUUCCUCCGUCGUUCAAUUCGAAGUUGCUGUCUCCUCAGGUAUUCUUGAUGUUUACGUGAAGCAAAUAUGUGUGACGUGAAGCACCGAUUUUGGUGGAUCUGACGAACGUGAUUGGUUACAAUAUUCAAUUUUAACCUUAACCUUGAUUUGUUAUAUUUGUAUGAUCGAUCUUGCUCUAUCUUCAAUCAUACGGCAAAACUUUCUCUUGUAUUCCAACAAGUU